AACGUAGGGGGCGAGCGUUAUCCGGAUUUACUGGGCGUAAAGCGCACGUAGGCGGCGUCGUAAGUUGGGCGUGAAAGCUCUUGGCUUAACCGAGAGAGGUCGUUCAAUACUGCGAUGCUUGAGGUUGACAGAGGAGAGUGGAAUUCCCGGUGUAGUGGUGGAAUGCGUAGAUAUCGGGAGGAAUACCAGUGGCGAAGGCGACUCUCUGGGUCACACCUGACGCUGAGGUGCGAAAGCGUGGGGAGCGAACGGG
rnacentral:misc_RNA from 1 species